GACGUAGGGGGCGAGCGUUGUCCGGAUUUAUUGGGUGUAAAGCGCGCGUAGGCGGCUCGGAAAGUCGGGUGUGAAAAUCCGGGGCUCAACCCCGGACCUGCAUCCGAUACUCCCGGGCUAGAGGCAGACAGGGGAGAGCGGAAUUCCUGGUGUAGCGGUGAAAUGCGCAGAUAUCAGGAGGAACACCGGUGGCGAAGGCGGCUCUCGUGGGUCUGUCCUGACGCUCAGGCGCGAAAGCUAGGGGAGCAAACAGG
rnacentral:rRNA from 1 species